AACGAACGCUGGCGGCAGGCCUAACACAUGCAAGUCGUGCGCGCCCUUCGGGGUGAGCGGCGGACGGGUGAGUAACGCGUGGGAAUAUGCCCUUCUGUUGAGGAUAGCCCUGGGAAACUGGGAGUAAUACUCGAUACGCCCUACGGGGGAAGGAAGGAUUAGCCCGCGUUAGAUUAGGUAGUUGGUGAGGUAAUGGCUCACCAAGCCUACGAUCUAUAGCUGGUUUUAGAGGAUGAUCAGCCACACUGGGACUGAGACACGGCC
rnacentral:rRNA from 1 species